UUUGAGAGAAGCAGAGGAAAAUAAAGGAGGAAAGGAAAAAUCUGAAUCUGAUCCUGUAAGCAACGUCAUUGUAUUAGUAGCUUCAGCGGAGGGGAAAAGAGCAAUAAAGACCAUCUUUGGUUUGAGAGAAGCGGAGGAAAAAUUAAGGGGCUUUUUAAGCUUCCCAAUCCCUCCAAAGUGCAGCACACUAACUUCGUAGUGAACUUUUCAUGCUAGGCACGCAUUCAGUUCACGCAAUACACAAGCCUCAGUGCCUCACUGCCUCUGCCUCACAAGCCUUCUCCCUGACCCUGCCACAGUCCCACCCUCAGAGCUCAGUCUCCUCUCAUCCCUUCCCCGCAGGCCCUGACGACGGCGCCGCCAGUGUAGAGCUCAGUCUCCUCUCAUCCCUUCCCCGCAGGCCCUGACGACGGCACCAUCAGUCUGUCCGGCGCAUCCCUCUUUGUGCCUCUCACCAACCGUAGCACUCUUUCCCUCUCAGCCCUCUCUCUGUCUCUCAACAGCACCAUGACGGUGCCAGUCACCGCUCCCUAUCCUCGGAGUCACGAUGGUGGUGCAUUGCUUCUCGGCUCCCAGUGACGACGUCUCUCUCGAUGACGACAACCGCAAACAGCGACGGAGCUUCUCUGACCCUCAAGGCCUGAACGACGACGGCGACAACGACUGCUUCUGCCGCUGGUCUUCUUCUCUUCUCUAGCCCCUGCUCAAGUUCAGUUCAGAAUACGAACAAUGGGAGCAGGAGAUCAUUGUGAAAUAAUGGUUGAAGAUUUUUACAUGCUAAAAGAUCCGGUUAUCAUCCGGUUUUUAUCCGGUUUUUACCAGACCCGAAAGUGUGUAGGUUUUAUCGGGUCUAGGGCUGAGUUAGGGUCUAUAAACUAAGUCCGGUGUAUAUUUCGGGUCUGGGUUAGGGCAAACACGGUGUAACCCGGCCCAUGUACACCCUUAACUUCGUUCAUCGAGUUAUUUUACCUCACCUUUCUAACUCACUAACUGUCAUCCCACUGUCACUGCCUCGUUUCCAGCUCCUCUGCUUGUCUGUGUGCUGCCCUGGUGUGCUUC